rnacentral:misc_RNA from 1 species
UUUCCGUAGGUGAACCUUCGGAAGGAUCAUUGCAGAGUUCAUGCCCUCACGGGUAGAUCUCCCACCCUUGAAUAUUAUACCUUCGUUGCUUUGGCAGGCCGUGGAAACACCAGAGGCUCCGGCUGAUGCGUGCCUGCCAGAGGAAACAAACUCUGUUUUUAGUGAUGUCUGAGUACUAUAUAAUAGUUAAAACUUUCAACAACGGAUCUCUUGGUUCUG